rnacentral:rRNA from 1 species
GACGAACGCUGGCGGCGUGCCUAAUGCAUGCAAGUCGAGCGGGCUACGAUCUUCGGAUUGUAGCUUAGCGGCGAACGGGUGAGUAACACGUAGGUAAUCUACCCUUCAGAGGAGGACAACCUCAGGAAACUGAGGCUAAACCUCCAUACGUUCAUAUGCAGGGAUGCAGAUGAAGAAAGGUUACCCGUGAGGGUAGCUGCUGAAGGAUGAGCCUGCGGCCCAUCAGGUAGUUGGUGAGGUAACGGCUCACCAAGCCUAAGACGGGUAACCGGUCUGAGAGGAUGUCCGGUCACACUGGGACUGAGACACGGCCCAGACUCCUACGGGAGGCAGCAGCAGGGAAUCUUGGACAAUGGGCGCAAGCCUGAUCCAGCCAUGCCGCGUGCGGGAAGAAGGCCUUCGGGUUGUAAACCGCUUUUGUCAGGGAAGAAAUCUUCUGGGUUAAUACCUCGGGAGGAUGACGGUACCUGAAGAAUAAGCACCGGCUAACUACGUG